rnacentral:rRNA from 1 species
AGAGUUUGAUCCUGGCUCAGGAUGAACGCUGGCGGCGUGCCUAACACAUGCAAGUCGAACGAGGCGCUUUUCCCGAAUUUUCGGAGGAGGGGAGAGUGACUGAGUGGCGGACGGGUGAGUAACGCGUGGGGAACCUGCCCUGUACCGGGGGAUAACAGCCGGAAACGGCUGCUAAUACCGCAUAAGCGCACAGUGCCGCAUGGCACGGUGUGAAAAACCACGGUGGUACAGGAUGGCCCCGCGUCUGAUUAGUUGGUUGGCAGGGUAACGGCCUACCAAGACGGCGAUCAGUAGCCGGCCUGAGAGGGUGAACGGCCACACUGGGACUGAGACACGGCCCAGACUCCUGCGGGAGGCAGCAGUGGGGAAUAUUGCACAAUGGGGGAAACCCUGAUGCAGCGACGCCGCGUGAGCGAGGAAGUAUUUCGGUAUGUAAAGCUCUGUCAGCAGGGAAGAAGAAUGACGGUACCUGAAGAAGAAGCACCGGCUAAAUACGUGCCAGCAGCCGCGGUAAUACGUAUGGUGCAAGCGUUAUCCGGAUUUACUGGGUGUAAAGGGAGCGCAGGCGGUUCUGCAAGUCUGAUGUGAGAGCCCGGGGCUCAACCGCGGGACUGCAUUGGAAACUGCGGGACUGGAGUGUCGGAGGGGUAAGCGGAAUUCCUGGUGUAGCGGUGAAAUGCGUAGAUAUCAGGAGGAACACCGGUGGCGAAGGCGGCUUACUGGACGAUGACUGACGCUGAGGCUCGAAAGCGUGGGGAGCAAACAGGAUUAGAUACCCUGGUAGUCCACGCUGUAAACGAUGAUUACUAGGUGUGGGGGGACUGAACCCUUCCGUGCCGCAGUUAACACAAUAAGUAAUCCACCUGGGGAGUACGGCCGCAAGGCUGAAACUCAAAGGAAUUGACGGGGGCCCGCACAAGCAGUGGAGUAUGUGGUUUAAUUCGAAGCAACGCGAAGAACCUUACCAGGUCUUGACAUCUCCUGAAUAGCCUAGAGAUAGGUGAAGCCCUUCGGGGCAGGAAGACAGGUGGUGCAUGGUUGUCGUCAGCUCGUGUCGUGAGAUGUUGGGUUAAGUCCCGCAACGAGCGCAACCCUUGUUGUCAGUUGCUACGGAAGAGCACUCUGGCGAGACUGCCGUUGACAAAACGGAGGAAGGUGGGGAUGACGUCAAAUCAUCAUGCCCCUUAUGACCUGGGCUACACACGUACUACAAUGGCACUUAACAGAGGGAGGCGAAGGAGCGAUCCGGAGCGAACCCCCAAAAAGUGUCUCAGUUCAGAUUGCAGGCUGAAACUCGCCUGUAUGAAGUCGGAAUUGCUAGUAAUCGCAGAUCAGCAUGCUGCGGUGAUUACGUUCCCGGGCCUUGCACACACCGCCCGUCA